rnacentral:lncRNA from 1 species
AAUAUUAUUCCCUUGCAGCAAUUUCCUUAUUACAUAGCAUUUUAACUCAACUGUUUUCUUUAACUAGGCAAACCUAAGAAAAAAAUUUGCAUUUGACAGAUUCUGAUAGUCCAAGACUUCUCAAAUAUAUUUUUUGAUGAACUACUCUGACUACUAGUGGAUAGAGAAGUUGAAUUCACCAUAGAUCUUUAGUCAGGCACCCAGCCUAUCUCAGUUUUUUCUUACCGCAUGAGUCGUGUUGAGAUGGAAGAGCUGAGAAAACAGAUCA